rnacentral:rRNA from 1 species
CCUACGGGGGGCUGCAGUGGGGAAUAUUGGACAAUGGGGGCAACCCUGAUCCAGCCAUGCCGCGUGUGUGAAGAAGGCCCUCGGGUUGUAAAGCACUUUCAGUGAGGAAGAACGCCUGGUGGUUAAUACCCAUCAGGAAAGACAUCACUCACAGAAGAAGCACCGGCUAACUCCGUGCCAGCAGCCGCGGUAAUACGGAGGGUGCGAGCGUUAAUCAGAAUUACUGGGCGUAAAGCGCGCGUAGGUGGCUUGAUAAGCCGGUUGUGAAAGCCCCGGGCUCAACCUGGGAACGGCAUCCGGAACUGUCAAGCUAGAGUGCAGGAGAGGAAGGUAGAAUUCCCGGUGUAGCGGUGAAAUGCGUAGAGAUCGGGAGGAAUACCAGUGGCGAAGGCGGCCUUCUGGACUGACACUGACACUGAGGUGCGACAGCGUGGGUAGCAAACAGGAUUAGAUACCCUGGUAGUC